GGGAGGCAGCAGUGGGGAAUAUUGGUCAAUGGGGGCAACCCUGAACCAGCCAUGCCGCGUGAAGGAAGAAGGUCCUAAGGAUUGUAAACUUCUUUUGUACUGGGGUAAUUGUUCGAUCGUGAUCGGACUUGAAAGUACUGUACGAAUAAGCAUCGGCUAACUCCGUGCCAGCAGCCGCGGUAAUACGGAGGAUGCGAGCGUUAUCCGGAUUUAUUGGGUUUAAAGGGUGCGUAGGCGGACCUGUAAGUCAGUGGUGAAAGACUGUCGCUUAACGAUAGCAUUGCCAUUGAUACUGCAGAUCUUGAGUAUAAUUGAGGUAGGCGGAAUGUGUAGUGUAGCGGUGAAAUGCUUAGAUAUUACACAGAACACCGAUUGCGAAGGCAGCUUACUAAACUAUAACUGACGCUGAGGCACGAAAGCGUGGGGAUCAAACAGGAUUAGAUACCCCGGU
rnacentral:rRNA from 1 species